rnacentral:rRNA from 1 species
GACGAACGCUGGCGGCGUGCUUAACACAUGCAAGUCGAACGGAAAGGCCCUGCUUGCAGGGUACUCGAGUGGCGAACGGGUGAGUAACACGUGGGUGAUCUGCCCUGCACUUCGGGAUAAGCCUGGGAAACUGGGUCUAAUACCGGAUAGGAGCCAUUUUUAGUGUGAUGGUUGGAAAGUUUUUUCGGUGUAGGAUGAGCUCGCGGCCUAUCAGCUUGUUGGUGGGGUAAUGGCCUACCAAGGCGGCGACGGGUAGCCGGCCUGGGAGGGUGGACGGCCAAAUUGGGACUGGGAUACGGCCCAGACUCCUACGGGAGGCAGCAGUGGGGAAUAUUGCACAAUGGGCGCAAGCCUGAUGCAGCGACGCCGCGUGGGGGAUGACGGCCUUCGGGUUGUAAACUCCUUUCGCUAGGGACGAAGCUUUUUGUGACGGUACCUAGAUAAGAAGCACCGGCUAACUACGUG